CCCUCCGCGCGCGCACGACCCAACCGCCGGAGCGGGAGCGGGCGCGGGGGCACCGCGGACGUCGCCAUUCGCCCGCCAUGACGGAGUCGCGCCGCCCGCCGACCGGCUGCGCGAUGUUCGGCAUCUACAGCGGCAUGUUUCGGCGCCGCCGGUCAAACUCCAUGUCCUCCCUCACCCGCAUCAACGGGGCCCCACCGCCCGCCGCCGAGCACGAGCACGAGCAUGAGCAGGAGCAGGAACAUGAGGACGGGGCUAAGGCGAUAUCCGUGCCGGCGAACUCGGCGCACCGGAAGGGCGGCGUCCACGAAGACUCGUCCCUCGUGCACCGCCCGGUCAUGUCGUUGCCAGGGACGAACAACGGCGUGCAACGCGUCCAUACACCGGCGAAUGACAGGGCCAUGAACACGACAAAGGCGGCCAACGGCGGGGCCAAGAAUGCGGUGGUCGCGGCCGCGGCCGCGGAGUACACCGGCAUGGCAGCGGAGUUGGACAAGAUGAUCCACGACCACCAGAGGGUCAAGGGCACCACGCAGCUGGUGCGCGCCACCUCCGGCAACAUGAUGCUCCACCGCAACCUCGGCAACCUCAAUUCCGGCGUCCCCGGCGCGUCGGCUCGGAACUCGGUGGAGCACAACAACCCCAAGCCCGCGAACGAGCGGAAGCCGCAGAACGGGUACGCGUUCUCGGGCUUGGGGAACAUCGUCAAGGAGACGAAAGCGCCACCGGCGUCGGAGCUGUGCCGCGCGCUGUCUCACCGGACGGACCCUGAGAAGCUCAAGGAGAUGGGCAACGAGGAGUACCGGGAGGGGCAUUACGCGGAGGCGGUGGCGCUCUACGACCAGGCCAUCAUGGUGGACCCGACGCGGCCGGCGUACUGGAGCAACAAGGCUGCCGCUCUCGCCGCGCUCGGGCGACUCAUCGAGGCCGCCGGCGACUGCAGGGAGGCUGUCCGGAUCGACCCUUCGUAUGGCCGCGCGCACCAUCGGCUUGGCGGGCUGUAUCUCAGAUUAGGAGAACCUGACAAGGCCAUUCACCACUUCAAGCAAUCGGCGAACGACUCGACGGGCGCUGACGUGUCCCGCGCGCAGUCGGUCAAGAGCCGCAUCGCCAAGUGCGGCGACGCGCGCAAGCUGAGGAACUGGAUCACCGUGCUGCAGGAAUCUCAGGCCGCCGUCGCCGACGGCGCGGACUGCGCCCCACAGGUCAUGGCGUUGCAAGCCGAGGCCCUGAUGAAGCUGCAGCGGCACGACGAGGCCGACGCGGUGCUGGGCGGCGCGCCGCGGUUCGGCGUCGACGAGUCGACCAAGUUUUUCGGCACCGUCGCCCAUGCCUACGUCCUCAUGAUCCGUGCCCAGGUCGACAUGGCUGCAGGGAGGUUCGAGGACGCGGUGGCGACGUCGCAGACGGCGUGCCAGCUGGACCCGAGCAGCCGGGAGAUCGCGAACGUGCACCGGAGGGCCAAGGUGGUGGCGUCGGCGCGGCUGCGCGGGAACGACCUCUUCAAGGCGUCGAGGUUCGCGGAGGCGUGCGCCGCCUACGGCGAAGGCCUCGACCGGGAGACCGGCAACGCCGUGCUGCUCUGCAACCGCGCGGCGUGCCACGCGAGGCUCGCGCGGUUCGAGAAGGCCGUCGAGGACUGCAACGGCGCGCUCGCCAUGCGACCAGCGUACAGCAAGGCGAGGCUGAGGAGGGCCGACUGCAACGUCAAGCUGGAGAGGUGGGAAGCGUCGUUGCGAGAUUACCAGGUGCUGAUCCAAGAACUCCCGGACAACGAGGACGUGAAGAAGGCGUUGUCUGAGGUCGAAGCCAAGGUCAAGAGCCAGAGGAAUGGGGGCGUUGCAACCAGAUCCUAACAGUGACGCCAUGUGUUACUAGGAGUUAGGACAACAGUUGAUGACCACGCGCAGAUAAAGAAAUAAAAAGGGUUUUUUUAAUUUGUCGGAUACCCGAAAUCAACCGCAAGAUCUGAAGAGGACAAAACUUUGGACAAAACAAUGAAGCAUGCACAAUUGCGCAGUUUGUUAGAAUAUCAAAUCAGUAUGCAUUUUUUGUGCACUAUACACCAAAUUACAAGAGAUUUGAGUAAUGAAACUGUAGAUAAUACGUUAAUACUUGCUCCACCGAGAAGUUUAGCUGUAUACCUAGUUAAUUUAAUUUACUGUGGGUUGGCAGUGACAGUACCCAUGAUCAUUUCUGAAGAUUUGAGUUUACCUCAUACAAAAAAUACACUGGCCUGUACUCUAUACUCCAAAACUGAUGUUCAUUCAAACAGAAAAUGAGUGAGUAUCCUUUCGAACAAAACUCCCUUUUGCUCUUUACUGAAACUAUAGCUGGAAACCGCGUGCUUGUUACAAUAUUGUGCAGGACAUGCAUGGGGUGACUGUUGUGCCGUGUGACUUCAGUAAUACAAUAUUGAUGGUCCAUAUAUUGCACUGAACUUCAGUAAUCAGUACUGCGUACCGUAGUCCAUGGUUUUCAUUUGUCAGUUUGACACAGAGGUCUGCAUGUCUGAAUAUAUGGGUGCUUGUAGUGUCUUCAUCCUGAACCUGUCAUGUGGCAUUGAGAUUGGUUUGCUUUUUUCGGCUUGACAAGAAUCUGUUAUAGCUUACCUGCUAUAGGUAAUGUCCAACAGGCAGGUCAAUGCUAAUUGUCGGUGAUGAGAAAUGUGAGUUCCAGAUGUACUCUUCCCGUGAGCAGAGCUGGUUCAUAAAAGCUAGAGAGACUCUUGCGCUACUGGAGAAUUGUAACUCUAUCAUAAGUUCGAUUUUUUUUCC